GGUAGCGUGGCCGAGUGGUUAUGGCGCUGCGUUUAGGAUUCCUAAAUUUUACAGUUCCGCAGUGGGAAACCGCGCGAGUUCGAACCUCGUCGCUGCCA